UACGGGGGGAGCAAGCGUUGUUCGGAUUUACUGGGCGUAAAGGGCGCGUAGGCGGCACCGCAAGUCGGUUGUGAAAUCUCCGGGCUUAACCCGGAAAGGUCAACCGAUACUGCGGGGCUAGAGUGCAGAAGGGGCAACUGGAAUUCUCGGUGUAGCGGUGAAAUGCGUAGAUAUCGAGAGGAACACCUGCGGCGAAGGCGGGUUGCUGGGCUGACACUGACGCUGAAGUGCGAAAGCUAGGGGAGCGAACGGG
rnacentral:rRNA from 1 species